AAAAAAUAAGGUUGAAUUAUGCUGCAAGAUCCACUCCCAAAUUUGUACGCUGCCUCAUGCACUGAACUUGGUGACAAUGGAAAUGUAGAUGAUAUUUUUUUGUCAGCAAACUCGAACAGGUUCAGUUGAGAGUUACUGAAAAGUGUAUUAUUAUUGAAAGUAACAUUGUAGAUGAAAAGAUCGUCUUUUUAGUUAUUUUCAGAAGUUCUAUUUAACAUAACAUGGAAUUAAU
rnacentral:lncRNA from 1 species